rnacentral:lncRNA from 1 species
CCACCCCCUCGGCUUCCGCCGCAGCUCCAGCUCGCGCAGAGCCGGCUCCACACACCUCCCACUCACUCUCGCGAGAGCAGACUCACCUCUCGCGAGAGCAACUCCGUGGUCCACCCCGCGCAAAAGUAGGUGGGUUUUUAGAAGGAAAAGAAGGGACCGGAAAAAACCUUCCCACGUGCUCCGAGACAGCUAACGUCAUGGGCCCGCAGGUCACGUGACACUGAGGGCACCUCUCCAUUGGUCAGAACCAGCUCAGCGGUGGGAGCUUAAAACUCGAGGCUGACUUGCGAACCUGUGGCGGACGUCUUGCGCGUUUCCUGGUCCGUUACCUUGGCAACAGUUAACCCUUCCCUCGGCAAAAUACCCAGGCCUUGGUUUCCUCCGCAGUUUUGGUUUCAGACCCUUCCUCCUUUCCUUCGACCCCCUAGGCUUACCGUCUGCGGCCAAAGAGAUUCUUCGCCACGAGGCUACCUUUGCUGUCCUCUGAAGCCCCGGCCCCUUCCCAAAUUAGCAGCCCCAGUGAAUCUGGCGGUGGCCCCUCCCCUUCUCCUUAGCAUCUUUAGAAACAGCGCAACAGGCCAUUGGCCCUAUCCGAACCCCAAGAAUCAGGUCAAGCGAUCUCCAGGCCCUGAUGCUCAUCCAGACGUCAGAAACUAAGAGAUGAAACAGCUAGUAGAUUACUUCCAAUUACAUUGUAAAGGCCAGGCCAUUUAAAUUGUACUGUCUACCUAAGGGUAUGGGUUCCUCAAAUUGGAAGUAUCUGACAGAUGAGAAACACAUUUUUAAGUGUAUCUUCAUUAGGAAUUAAGUUUUGGAGGAGAUGGUGCAUUCAUACGUUCAUUCAACAAAUUUUUGUUGUGUUCCUACAUAUUUUAGGCACUACUCCAGGCUGUCAAUUGAGCAGUGAUGAAGACAAAUACUGAAGUUUAGAUUCUAGAGAACUAGGGGCGGGGAUUAUCUGUCGCUGUUAAGCCAUAUGAAAAUAAGUUACAGAGAGGAAGACAAAUGUCCUGUGUCCAUGCUCGUCACAGAAGAGAGAACAGUGGCAUACAAAGAAGGGACAUCUUGGAAAGACUUGUCCCCUUCCUCACAAUGGAAUUUAUUAAAUCAGCCACCUUCUGAAGGAAAGACUAGGAUUCCUCCAUCAAUCUUCAUGAACACCAAAAUAACUCACCAUCUUUGCUUUGUUAGUUCACUGGCCUACAUCACUUCAUAGUUUAGUCUCCCUCAACCACAGGAUGUGGCCACCAAAAAUUAGUAAAUAAACUUUACUCUACAUGAAUGCUAGCGUGCUUAAAACAAAAGAUGUACUGGUCCUACUCUUCCCUGAGCGAGGAAGUCCAUACCUGCAUUUACCAACAGAGCUAUGACCAGACAUAAGGUAACAAAGAAAUGUAUCUUAUGAGAAAUUUAACCUUUUGGAAUAUUUAAUCUAUGAAUGGAAGAUUCAGAGGGAUACCAUAAACUGAAGUUGGAAAGCUAUCGUACAAGCAAUGUCUUAGAUUUCCUCUGUUCUUCCAGGGGGACAAGACAGAUUUCAGAUCACAUAAAAAGAAAAAAAUAAUAAUUAGAGCUGUGCUAAAAUGAAAUGGAUAUCUUUAUAAACAAUGAGUCUCCAAUUAUUUCUUUGCAUCUAUACAGUUUAUUAUAAAAAUACAUUUUGUAGCAUCCAAAUUUUUAACAUCUUAAUCUCUUAUGUGAUGAUAUUCUGCUGUUAUCUCUAAACAUUUAAAAUUCUUCCUUUUUAAAGUGUGUCCUUAUUUCACAUUUGAUUGUACAGGUUGCUAUCAUUAUCAGUUGGUGUAAUAAGAUUCCUAUAAAGAUCUUGUUAUCUUCGAGGAGUAACCCAGUAGGGAAUAAUGGGUGUAAUAAGAUUUCUGCACAGCUCUUGCUUAAUAGUAAGAUGGUCUAUAAUUUUCUCUCUUUUUAGAUGGUCAGUAGCUACUCUGAAAUAUAAACUCUGCCAUAUAAACUCCUUAUAAAAGUAAGAUCCACAUUAAAAUAAAAUAUCACAGUAAUUAUUCUGUAUGGUUUGAGCAAAUGACAUCUUUUAUGGGAAAGAGAAGUUACUAAACAAUAUUUACAAGUUGCUACCUGGGCUUCACUAUCAAACUCUGUGCCCUUCAAACUUUAAUAUUAGCUUGGCUGUUUUUAUUUUUUCUGGUACCGAAAUUGAACCCGGUACCUUUUCACACUAAGCUACAUCCUCAGCUAUUUAGUUAGUUAGAGAUGGUGUCUUGCUAAGUCGUCCAGGCAGGACUCAAACUUGUGACCCUCCUGCUUCUUUCUCCUAAAGUUCUGGGAUUACAGGUAUGUACCACCGUACCUGGUUCUAGAUACAUUUUUAAAAGUUACUUUUUACAAAUUGCUCAGAGACAAGUCUUGCUCACUUUACUCUCUGUGUGGUUGUAAGAAUUCUCAACUAAAUUCCAAGAGGAAUAAAGUCCUUAGCUAAAGUC